UGAAAAAUAAGUUAAAUUCAGACUGUCGGAUUAAUAAUUCGGAUGUGAGUUAUCUCUUUUUUAA
rnacentral:tRNA from 1 species